UACGUAGGGCGCAAGCGUUGUCCGGAAUUAUUGGGCGUAAAGAGCUCGUAGGCGGUUUGUCGCGUCUGUCGUGAAGGCUUGGGGCUUAACCCCAAGUCUGCGGUGGAUACGGGCAGACUAGAGGCAGGUAGGGGAGAACGGAAUUCCCGGUGUAGCGGUGAAAUGCGCAGAUAUCGGGAGGAACACCGGUGGCGAAGGCGGUUCUCUGGGCCUGUACUGACGCUGAGGAGCGAAAGCGUGGGGAGCGAACAGG
rnacentral:rRNA from 1 species